rnacentral:tRNA from 1 species
GUUCUUAUAGUGGAAUUACAACAGUAGUUUUUCGGACUACCGGUCUAGGUUAAAGCCCUAGUAGGAAUA